CUGAUGAAGGAAUGCUAACAUCAAAGGAUUUAUUUCUUUUGUGGUGCAGCAGGACCUGCAAGGAAAGGUGAAAAAGAGGGAAAACCUGAAACAAAAGAAUAAUGUAGUCGUGCUCAUGGGUUGCAGGCACACGAAAGUUUGGAGCAGACACAGCAGUCAGAUUGUCCUGCACGUGUUCCCCUGCUCUAGCUUCAAGGUUGUGUGGCUCAGAGAGCCGUCAUCAAGGUCUUCCUCAUCCUGUUGCUCAACGACAUCCCCGUUGAAAAGAGUGAGAUUGUGAAGUGCAGCAGCAGAACUGUAUCAGCUGUGUUCAGAUGGCAGGAGGAUGUUGGGUUCACCAUCUGUAAAUACAUGUU